rnacentral:rRNA from 1 species
AUACGUAGGUGGCAAGCGUUGUCCGGAAUUAUUGGGCGUAAAGCGCAUGUAGGCGGUAAUUUAAGUCUGUCGUGAAACUGCGGGGCUCAGCCCCGUAUGGCGAUGGAAACUGGGUUACUUGAGUGCAGGAGAGGAAAGGGGAACUCCCAGUGUAGCGGUGAAAUGCAUAGAUAUUGGGAAGAACACCGGUGGCGAAGGCGCCUUUCUGGACUGUGUCUGACGCUGAGAUGCGAAAGCCAGGGUAGCGAACGGGAUUAGAUACCCCGGUAGUCCUGGCCGUAAACGAUGGGUACUAGGUGUGGGAGGUAUCGACCCCUUCCGUGCCGGAGUUAACGCAAUAAGUACCCCGCCUGGGGAGUACGGCCGCAAGGCUUAAACUCAAAGGAAUUGACGGGG